CUUUUCCCGCCAUUUUCCCCGGUUUCCCUCUCCCCUCACGGAAUUUUUGGGGUGUCCCCACAGGAACGUGAAGAAGAUUCGGGGAAAUCUGCGCUGGUAUGGACACCUGCAGGAGCUGGAGGCCGCCGCCAGUCCUCCGAGCCGCCAGGGGGCGCUGCGCGCGGAGGUGGAGCGGCUCCGGAAGGAGGUGCAGGACUUGGGGGACGCCAUUGCGGACGCACAGGAAACGGCGCAGCGCCUCGAGGCCUCGCUGGAGGCGUUGCAAAGCCGGAGGUGGGCGGAGCUUCAGCGAGGGGCGGAGCUUCGGCUGCUGGGGGCGGAGCCGAGCCCUGCCGGACUGAGCAGCAGCCACCAGGGGGCGCUACAGGCCAUCCCA